UACGAAGGGGGCUAGCGUUGCUCGGAAUCACUGGGCGUAAAGGGUGCGUAGGCGGGUCUUUAAGUUAGGGGUGAAAUCCUGGAGCUCAACUCCAGAACUGCCUUUGAUACUGAGGAUCUUGAGUUCGGGAGAGGUGAGUGGAACUGCGAGUGUAGAGGUGAAAUUCGUAGAUAUUCGCAAGAACACCAGUGGCGAAGGCGGCUCACUGGCCCGAUACUGACGCUGAGGCACGAAAGCGUGGGGAGCAAACGGG
rnacentral:rRNA from 1 species